rnacentral:rRNA from 1 species
AUUGAACGCUGGCGGCAGGCCUAACACAUGCAAGUCGAGCGGAUGAAGGGAGCUUGCUCCUGGAUUCAGCGGCGGACGGGUGAGUAAUGCCUAGGAAUCUGCCUGGUAGUGGGGGAUAACGUCCGGUAACGGGCGCUAUUACCGCAUACGUCCUGAGGGAGAAAGUGGGGGAUCUUCGGACCUCACGCUAUCAGAUGAGCCUAGGUCGGAUUAGCUAGUUGGUGGGGUAAAGGCCUACCAAGGCGACGAUCCGUAACUGGUUUGAGAGGAUGAUCAGUCACACUGGAACUGAGACACGGUCCAGACUCCUACGGGAGGCAGCAGUGGGGAAUAUUGGACAAUGGGCGAAAGCCUGAUCCAGCCAUGCCGCGUGUGUGAAGAAGGUCUUCGGAUUGUAAAGCACUUUAAGUUGGGAGGAAGGGCAGUAAGUUAAUACCUUGCUGUUUUGACGUUACCAACAGAAUAAGCACCGGCUAACUUCGUG